rnacentral:rRNA from 1 species
GGCGAACGCUGGCGACGUGCUUAACACAUGCAAGUCGAACGGAAAGGCCCUGCUUUUGUGGGGUGCUCGAGUGGCGAACGGGUGAGUAACACGUGAGUAACCUGCCCUUGACUUUGGGAUAACUUCAGGAAACUGGGGCUAAUACCGGAUAGGAGCUCCUGCUGCAUGGUGGGGGUUGGAAAGUUUCGGCGGUUGGGGAUGGACUCGCGGCUUAUCAGCUUGUUGGUGGGGUAGUGGCUUACCAAGGCUUUGACGGGUAGCCGGCCUGAGAGGGUGACCGGCCACAUUGGGACUGAGAUACGGCCCAGACUCCUACGGGAGGCAGCAGUGGGGAAUAUUGCACAAUGGGCGGAAGCCUGAUGCAGCAACGCCGCGUGCGGGAUGACGGCCUUCGGGUUGUAAACCGCUUUCGCCUGUGACGAAGCGUGAGUGACGGUAAUGGGUAAAGAAGCACCGGCUAACUACGUG